CUACGAAAGGUGCAAGCGUUGUUCGGAUUUACUGGGCGUAAAGAGAGUGUAGGUGGUUUAUUAAGUCGGAUGUGAAAUCCCGGGGCUCAACCUCGGAACUGCAUUCGAUACUGAUAGGCUAGAGUUUGGGAGGGGUAAGCGGAAUUCCGUGUGUAGCAGUGAAAUGCGUAGAUAUACGGAGGAACACCUGAGGCGAAGGCGGCUUACUGGCCCAAUACUGACACUGAGACUCGAAAGCGUGGGUAGCAAACAGGAUUAGAUACCCCAGUAGUCC
rnacentral:rRNA from 1 species